rnacentral:rRNA from 1 species
ACGGUAGAGGGGGCAACCCCUUGAGAGUGGCGAACGGGUGAGUAAUGUAUCGGAACGUGCCCAGUCGUGGGGGAUAACGUAGUGAAAAUUACGCUAAUACCGCAUACGAUCUAUGGAUGAAAGCGCGGGAUCGCAAGACCUCGCGCGAUUGGAGCGGCCGAUAUCAGAUUAGGUAGUUGGUAGGGUAAAGGCCUACCAAGCCAACGAUCUGUAGCUGGUCUGAGAGGACGACCAGCCACACUGGAACUGAGACACGGUCCAGACUCCCACGGGAGGCAGCAGUGGGGAAUUUUGGACAAUGGGCGAAAGCCUGAUCCAGCCAUUCCGCGUGCAGGAUGAAGGCCCUCGGGUUGUAAACUGCUUUUGUACAGAACGAAAAGGUUUCUAUUAAUACUAGGAGCUCAUGACGGUACUGUAAGAAUAAGCACCGGCUAACUACGUGCCAGCAGCCGCGGUAAUACGUAGGGUGCAAGCGUUAAUCGGAAUUACUGGGCGUAAAGCGUGCGCAGGCGGUUAUAUAAGUCAGAUGUGAAAUCCCCGGGCUCAACCUGGGAACUGCAUUUGAGACUGUAUAGCUAGAGUACGGUAGAGGGGGAUGGAAUUCCGCGUGUAGCAGUGAAAUGCGUAGAUAUGCGGAGGAACACCGAUGGCGAAGGCAAUCCCCUGGACCUGUACUGACGCUCAUGCACGAAAGCGUGGGGAGCAAACAGGAUUAGAUACCCUGGUAGUCCACGCCCUAAACGAUGUCAACUGGUUGUUGGGUCUUAACUGACUCAGUAACGAAGCUAACGCGUGAAGUUGACCGCCUGGGGAGUAC